AUACUUUGCCAAGUUGUUGAAUGCUCAGAUUUUUCUGGGUUUUAUGAUUCACUUGUAUAGGAAGAUCUGAUGA
rnacentral:ncRNA from 14 species